UACGUAGGGUGCAAGCAUUAAUCGGAAUUAUUGGGCGUAAAGGGCGCGUAGGCGGAGAUGUAAGUCAGAUGUGAAAUCCCGGGACUCAACCCCGGAACUGCAUUUGAAACUGCAUUUCUAGAGGAUAGGCGGAGAAAACGGAAUUCCACAAGUAGCGGUGAAAUGCGUAGAUAUGUGGAAGAACACCUGUGGCGAAAGCGGUUUUCUAGCUUAGACCUGACGCUGAGGCGCGAAAGCAAGGGGAUCAAACAGG
rnacentral:rRNA from 1 species